AAGAGCCGCUCCUCAUGGAAAAGAAUACACCCACGCAGGAUUCAGAACUCCGCUGCUGCUUUCCCCUUAAUAUUCAUGCAGAAUAUAUGGACACAUACUUAUUUUACACUCGCUGUGGCACCCACUUUGCUUGAAAAACAAGAAGGAUUUUGUAAGCAAUUUAAGAUACGAGAAGCCACAUUGGUUGCCAUUUAACCAACAAUUGUGAUCCUUAUUCAGGGAAUCCUCUGCUCUUCGUACUGGUUGGGCAACAAUUAUAGAAAAACUAAACACACAUGUACACAAUUAAUGAUGCUCCAUCAACAACGAAUAACUGAUGCCAAUGCAAUUAGACAAUAUCCAAAAAACAUUCGAAGUCUUGGCGUAUAAGACAAGAUUUUAGAGGAAGAAGAGUCUCUAUAAGAGCCGCUCCUCAUGGAAAAGAAUACACCCACGCAGGAUUCAGAACUCCGCUGCUGCUUUCCCCUUAAUAUUCAUGCAGAAUAUAUGGACACAUACUUAUUUUACACUCGCUGUGGCACCCACUUUGCUUGAAAAACAAGAAGGAUUUUGGAAUCCGCUGUCUAAAACUAAACACACAUGUACACAAUUAAUGAUGCUCCAUCAACAACGAAUAACUGAUGCCAAUGCAAUCAGACAAUAUCCAAAAUACAUUCCAAGUCUUGGCGUACAAUUUGUAGGAAUUUGCGUGUGAUCUUGGGCGAUCUGGAAUGUGUUGUUCUAAGCUUUAUGUGUGUAAAAUGUAAUGUAGCAAUACUAUAUGUAAGCUAUGCAGCCACUACCAAUAAGUCCAUGAGAGUACCAAUGAUGGUGUUUAUAUCGAACGAAAGAGAGGCCAAUAUUAUCUGACAAGACCUAAGAAAAUAUUCCAGGCAGCUGUUAAACCCAACGACAUGGAAACUUUUCCGUACAGUUAUAUCUAUGUACAUAUGUAUAUAUGUAUGUAUCUCUGUAUGUUUACAUUUUUUGCGCGUUAUUAUGCUUGCCAUAACGAAUCUCUGUGG